ensembl:antisense 1700071M16Rik RIKEN cDNA 1700071M16 gene
AGAAACCAAGGGAACCUCUUCUAAUAACCUGUGGCUCUCCAACUUCUCUACUUUAGGAACCUGUUCACCUGGAAUUUAGGAGUCACAGAUCUGUGGGUAUAGACAGUGUGAGAUCAUCCUCAAGUUACCUGCUGUGCUCUCCAAAGGACACAGACUGAGACCCAUGUGCGUCACCGCUCUUUAAGAUGAACAGGCAGAAAGGGCCAUGUCCCUUUGGACCUCUAGAGUCCAGACUGUCAUCUUCUUGCAAGCCUCUUCACCUCCGCAGGACCAGCUUUGCUUGUCAAGACACAAGACCAAUCCUACCUUCAUGGAACAGCGAUGAAGCUGCCUUGUAAACUCCAAGGAUCUCUCACCAAAGCUGAAGCACAUUAUGUCAUCUAUAAUGGUUUUCCAAUAAGCUUCAGGGAUCCUCCCGUUUCUACACCCCUCCCCCCAUAACAAAGAAAUCUCACAUCAGUGGUGGCGAUCCAAACUCAUGACCUCAUGCUUGCACAGUGGCUACUUCAUCACCUGGGCCAUCCCCCCAGUCCUUGCAUUCUCACAUAUCAAAACAUGCAACAUCUUAAAGUUGCUCAGAGAGUAAUGCCUCUUACCUGACGGCCUGAAGUCAAAAGAAGAUGUGUCUUGCCAGUGAAAAGGAUGGACCCAUGGGAGGCAGCAGAGGAGGCAGAAAAGCGCCUGCAGUUUGAGUGGUACCAUCUUAGGAGCUGAGCAGUGGCUUCAGUUUGAUGUUCUUCAGAGCAGAUAAUUAAAAGAAAAGAAAU